rnacentral:rRNA from 1 species
GAUGAACGCUAGCGGCAGGCCUAAUACAUGCAAGUCGAGGGGCAGCAGGAAUAGCAAUAUUCGCUGGCGACCGGCGCACGGGUGCGUAACCCGUAUACAAUCUGCCUUUAACAGGGGGAUAGCCCGGAGAAAUCCGGAUUAAUACCCCAUAACAGUGAUCUUGGCAUCAAGGACACUUAAAAGCUCCGGCGGUUCAAGAUGAGUAUGCGUCUGAUUAGCUAGUUGGUGAGGUAACGGCUCACCAAGGCGACGAUCGGUAGGGGAUCUGAGAGGAUUAACACCCAAACGGAUACUGAGACACGGAGCCGACUACUCGGGGAGGCAGCAGUAAGGAAUAUUGGACAAGGCCCGCAAGGGUGAUCCAGCCAUGCCGCGUGCAGGAAGACGGCCCUAUGGGCUGUAAACUGCUUUUACACCGGAGAAAACCCCACUACGUGUAGUGGGCUGAUAGUAUGGUGAGAAUAAGCAUCGGCUAACUUCGUGCCAGCCGCCGCGGUAA